rnacentral:rRNA from 1 species
GUCUACAGCCAUACCACCCUGAACACGCCCGGUCUCCUCUGAUCUCAGAAACUAAGCAGGGUCGGGCCUGGUUAGUACUUGGAAGGGAGAACUACUACUAGACC